rnacentral:rRNA from 1 species
GAUGAACGCUAGCGGCAGGCCUAAUACAUGCAAGUCGAACGGUGUCUUCGGACAUAGUGGCGCACGGGUGCGUAACACGUAUGCAACCUACCUUACAUUGGGGGAUAGCCUUUCGAAAGGGAGAUUAAUACCGCAUAAGACAGUAGCUGGGCAUCCAGCAGCUGUUAAAGAUUUAUCGAUGUAAGCUGGGCAUGCGUCCAAUUAGCUAGUUGGUGAGGUAACGGCUCACCAAGGGAAUGAUUGGUAGGGGAACUGAGAGGUCAAUCCCCCACACUGGCACUGCGAUACGGGCCAGACUCCUACGGGAGGCAGCAGUAGGGAAUAUUGGGCAAUGGACGCAAGUCUGACCCAGCCAUGCCGCGUGCAGGAUGAAGGCGUUAUGCGUUGUAAACUGCUUUUAUACAGGAAGAAACGACUCUUGCGAGAGGCAUUGACGGUACUGUAUGAAUAAGCACCGGCUAACUCCGUGCCAGCCGCCGCGGUAACAA